AUUGAACGCUGGCGGCAGGCCUAACACAUGCAAGUCGAACGAGUGGCGGACGGGUGAGUAAUGUCUGGGAAACUGCCUGAUGGAGGGGGAUAACUACUGGAAACGGUAGCUAAUACCGCAUACCAUCGGAUGUGCCCAGAUGGGAUUAGCUAGUAGGUGGGGUAAAGGCUCACCUAGGCGACGAUCCCUAGCUGGUAUGAGAGGAUGACCAGCCAAAUUGGAACUGGAACACGGUCCAGACUCCUACGGAGGGCAGCAGUGGGGAAUAUUUCACAAUGGGCGCAAGCCUGAUGCAGCCAUGCCGCGGGUAUGAAGAAGGCCUUCGGGUUUUAAAGUACUUUCAGCGGGGAGGCGUUACCCGCAGAAGAAGCACCGGCUAACUCCGUGCCAGCAGCCGCGGUAAUAC
rnacentral:rRNA from 1 species